AGGAUCGCUGAUCGCGUCGGGGGCACUGCAAGCGCCCAGCUGAGCCAUGCUCUGGGAGGAGACAGGCGCCGCCCCUGCGCCCGCGCGGGCCUCGGACCUCCCCUACAGUCCUCCAGGUGUCCUGCAUGAGACCUGCCAAUGAUGUGCUAUCAGAGGAUGCCAUUUCCAACUAGAGAAGCACAAUUCUUUGAGCAAGAAGAUAGCAAUAGAAAAGAAAGUAAGGUAUAAAUCAAUAAUGACAAUACAAGGUAGAAAGCAGAAUGAUGACAACAGUGUGGAUUCAAAGGACAUGGGGAGACUUUAAGAUUUCCCACUGGGGACUAAAAGGGACCAGAUAUCUGGACCUGCAGUGAGGAGGGCCCUCUGCUGCCAGGGGAAAUGGGUGAGAAAAGACUCAAUGACAUGAAAUUUCAUUAGAUUACAAGGCCUGGUGUUGAAGAAAUGUUUCAAUUUGGAGCCUGGAAAGGUAGGUUUGAGUGGAAUUGAAGAAAACUUGAGAGUCAGGUUAAGGGACUUGGGCUGUAUUUAUUAAGAAAGAUACCAAGAUGGUUUGUGACCAAAUAGGUGAUGGGAUGAUCGGAAUGAUAAAAGCCUAAAAUGAGACUCCAGCCAAGCAUUCACCCUGAAAACUGUAACAAAGUACCUAGUGAGUUUAACAACAUGCUAUAAAGAAAAAUAUGCAUCAGAGAUUUUAUGAGAAUAGAAGAAUAGCUUUCCUGUUUUCUUUUUUUCCUGGUACUCUGAAGAGUUAGGACAUAUAAUUUCCUAAUUUUUAUUCAUCUUACCCAACCCAAAUAACCAGAUUUGAAAGGAAAAGGAGGAAA
rnacentral:lncRNA from 1 species